rnacentral:rRNA from 1 species
GAUUAACGCUAGCGGCAGGCAUAAUACAUGCAAGUUGAACGAGAUUAGUUUUAGCAAUAGAACUAGUUUAGUGGCGCACGGGUGCGUAACGCGUAUGCAACCUACCUUAAACAGGGGAAUAGCCUCUCGAAAGAGAGAUUAAUACCGCAUAAUAUAUAUUUAAUGCAUAUUAGAUAUAUUAAACCUACGGGGGUUUAAGAUGGGCAUGCGUGACAUUAGCUAGUUGGUGAGGUAACGGCUCACCAAGGCAACGAUGUCUAGGGGGUCAGAGAGGAUGUCCCCCCACACUGGUACUGAGACACGGACCAGACUCCUACGGGAGGCAGCAGUAGGGAAUAUUGGUCAAUGGGGGCAACCCUGAACCAGCCAUGCCGCGUGCAGGAAUAAGGCCCUAUGGGUCGUAAACUGCUUUUGAACGGGAGAAAUCUAUUUACGUGUAAAUAGUUGACGGUACCGUUAGAAUAAGGAUCGGCUAACUUCGUGCCAGCAGCCGCGGUAAU